rnacentral:rRNA from 1 species
AUUGAACGCUGGCGGCAGGCCUAACACAUGCAAGUCGAACGGUAACAGGAUGAAGCUUGCUUCUUUGCUGACGAGUGGCGGACGGGUGAGUAAUGUCUGGGAAACUGCCUGAUGGAGGGGGAUAACUACUGGAAACGGUAGCUAAUACCGCAUAACGUCGCAAGACCAAAGAGGGGGACCUUCGGGCCUCUUGCCAUCGGAUGUGCCCAGAUGGGAUUAGCUAGUAGGUGGGGUAACGGCUCACCUAGGCGACGAUCCCUAGCUGGUCUGAGAGGAUGACCAGCCACACUGGAACUGAGACACGGUCCAGACUCCUACGGGAGGCAGCAGUGGGGAAUAUUGCACAAUGGGCGCAAGCCUGAUGCAGCCAUGCCGCGUGUAUGAAGAAGGCCUUCGGGUUGUAAAGUACUUUCAGCGGGGAGGAAGGGAGUAAAGUUAAUACCUUUGCUCAUUGACGUUACCCGCAGAAGAAGCACCGGCUAACUCCGUG